CGUGAGAUGUUGGGUUAAGUCCCGCAACGAGCGCAACCCUUGUCCUUAGUUGCUACGCAAGAGCACUCUAAGGAGACUGCCGGUGACAAACCGGAGGAAGGUGGGGAUGACGUCAAGUCCUCAUGGCCCUUAUGGGUAGGGCUUCACACGUCAUACAAUGGUCGGAACAGAGGGUCGCCAACCCGCGAGGGGGAGCCAAUCCCAGAAAACCGAUCGUAGUCCGGAUUGCACUCUGCAACUCGAGUGCAUGAAGCUGGAAUCGCUAGUAAUCGCGGAUCAGCAUGCCGCGGUGAAUACGUUCCCGGGUCUUGUACACACCGCCCGUCACACCAUGGGAGUGGGUUUUACCAGAAGUGGCUAGUCUAACCGCAAGGAGGACGGUCACCACGGUAGGAUUCAUGACUGGGGUGAAGUCGUAACAAGGUAGCCGUAUCGGAAGGUGCGGCUGGAUCACCUCCUUUC
rnacentral:rRNA from 1 species